CAAUAGCGUAUAUUAAAGUUGUUGCAGUUAAAAAGCUCGUAGUUGGAUUUCUGAUCGAGACAUCAGGUCGGGUCCGAGAGGAUCAUGUACUUUGAUUUUGUUUUGAUCAUCCUUGGGGAGAGCGUUUCUGGCAUUCAGUUGUCGGGAUUGGGAUCCUCAUCGUUUACUGUGAAAAAAUUAGAGUGUUCAAAGCAGGCCUCGGCCUCUGAAUACAUUAGCAUGGAAUAAUAAGAUAGGACUUUGGUGGUCUAUUUUGUUGGUUUGCACGCCAAAGUAAUGAUUAAUAGGGAUAGUUGGGGGUAUUCGUAUUCAAUUGUCAGAGGUGAAAUUCUUGGAUUUAUGGAAGACGAGCUACUGCGAAAGCAUUUACCAAGGAUGUUUUCAUUAA
rnacentral:rRNA from 1 species